rnacentral:rRNA from 1 species
AGUGAACGCUGGCGGCGUGCCUAACACAUGCAAGUCGAACGGAUCAAAGUAGCUUGCUAUUUUGGUUAGUGGCGCACGGGUGAGUAAUGUAUAGCUAACCUGCCCUUUAGUGGGGGACAACAGUUGGAAACGACUGCUAAUACCCCAUACUCCUUCUUGCCAUAUGGUGAGUCGGGAAAGAUUUAUUGCUAAAGGAUGGGGCUUUAUUGUAUCAGCUAGUUGGUGAGGUAAUGGCUCACCAAGGCUAUGACGCAUACCUGGUCUGAGAGGAUGAUCAGGCACACUGGAACUGAGACACGGUCCAGACUCCUACGGGAGGCAGCAGUGGGGAAUAUUGCACAAUGGAGGAAACUCUGAUGCAGCAACGCCGCGUGGAGGAUGACGCAUUUCGGUGUGUAAACUCCUUUUAUAAGGGAAGAUAAUGACGGUACCUUAUGAAUAAGCACCGGCUAACUCCGUGCCAGCCGCCGCCGUAAAAC